UACGGGGGGGGGCAAGCGUUGUUCGGAAUUACUGGGCGUAAAGGGCUCGUAGGCGGCCAACUAAGUCAGACGUGAAAUCCCUCGGCUUAGCCGGGGAACUGCGUCUGAUACUGGAUGGCUUGAGUUUGGGAGAGGGAUGCGGAAUUCCAGGUGUAGCGGUGAAAUGCGUAGAUAUCUGGAGGAACACCGGUGGCGAAGGCGGCAUCCUGGACCAACACUGACGCUGAUGAGCGAAAGCCAGGGGAGCAAACGGG
rnacentral:rRNA from 1 species